AUUGAACGCUGGCGGCAUGCCUUACACAUGCAAGUCGAACGGUAACAGGUCUUCGGAUGCUGACGAGUGGCGAACGGGUGAGUAAUACAUCGGAACGUGCCUAGUAGUGGGGGAUAACUACUCGAAAGAGUGGCUAAUACCGCAUGAGAUCUACGGAUGAAAGCAGGGGAUCGCAAGACCUUGUGCUACUAGCGCGGCCGAUGGCGGAUUAGGUAGUUGGUGGGAUAAAAGCUGACCAAGCCGACGAUCUGUAGCUGGUCUGAGAGGACAGUCGGCCACACUGGGACGGAGACACGGCCCAGACUCCUACGGGAGGCAGCAGUGGGGAAUUUUGGACAAUGGGCGCAAGCCUGAUCCAGCAAUGCCGCGUGCAGGAUGGAGGCCUUCGGGUUGUAAACUGCUUUUGUACGGAACGAAAAGCCCUGGGUUAAUACCCUGGGGUCAUGACGGUACCGUAAGAAUAAGCACCGGCUAACUACGUGCCAGCCGCCGCAGUAACAC
rnacentral:rRNA from 1 species